AACUGAAGAGUUUGAUCCUGGCUCAGAUUGAACGCUGGCGGCAUGCCUAACACAUGCAAGUCGAACGGUAACAGGCCUUCGGGCGCUGACGAGUGGCGGACGGGUGAGUAAUGCGUAGGAAUCUGCCCAGUAGCGGGGGACAACUUAGGGAAACUUAAGCUAAUACCGCAUACGCCCUACGGGGGAAAGCAGGGGAUCUUCGGACCUUGCACUAUUGGAUGAGCCUACGCCGGAUUAGCUAGUUGGUAGGGUAAAGGCCUACCAAGGCGACGAUCCGUAGCUGGUCUGAGAGGACGAUCAGCCACACUGGGACUGAGACACGGCCCAGACUCCUACGGGAGGCAGCAGUGGGGAAUAUUGGACAAUGGGGGCAACCCUGAUCCAGCAAUGCCGCGUGUGUGAAGAAGGCCUGCGGGUUGUAAAGCACUUUCGGUAGGGACGAAAAGCUGAGGGCUAAUAUCCUUCAGUCUUGACUUAACCUAAAGAAGAAGCACCGGCUAACUCCGUGCCAGCAGCCGCGGUAAUACGGAGGGAGCAAGCGUUGUUCGGAUUUACUGGGCGUAAAGCGCACGUAGGUGGCUUCUCAAGCCGGGAGUGAAAUCCCACGGCCCAACCGUGGAAUUG
rnacentral:rRNA from 1 species